rnacentral:rRNA from 1 species
AAAUUGAAGAGUUUGAUCAUGGCUCAGAUUGAACGCUGGCGGCAGGCCUAACACAUGCAAGUCGGGCGGUAACACAGGGAGCUUGCUCCUGGGUGACGAGCGGCGGACGGGUGAGUAAUGUCUGGGAAACUGCCUGAUGGAGGGGGAUAACUACUGGAA